rnacentral:rRNA from 1 species
GACGAACGCUGGCGGCGUGCUUAACACAUGCAAGUCGAACGGAAAGGCCCUGCUUUUGUGGGGUGCUCGAGUGGCGAACGGGUGAGUAACACGUGAGUAACCUGCCCUUGACUUUGGGAUAACUUCAGGAAACUGGGGCUAAUACCGGAUAGGAGCUCCUGCUGCAUGGUGGGGGUUGGAAAGUUUCGGCGGUUGGGGAUGGACUCGCGGCUUAUCAGCUUGUUGGUGGGGUAGUGGCUUACCAAGGCUUUGACGGGUAGCCGGCCUGAGAGGGUGACCGGCCACAUUGGGACGGGGAUACGGCCCAGACGCCUACGGGAGGCAGCAGGGGGGAAUAUUGCACAAUGGGCGGAAGCCGGAUGCAGCAACGCCGCGUGCGGGAUGACGGCCUUCGGGUUGUAAACCGCUUUCGCCUGUGACGAAGCGUGAGUGACGGUAAUGGGUAAAGAAGCACCGGCUAACUACGU